rnacentral:rRNA from 1 species
AUUGAACGCUGGCGGCAUGCUUUACACAUGCAAGUCGAACGGUAACAGGCCUUCGGGCGCUGACGAGUGGCGAACGGGUGAGUAAUGCAUCGGAACGUGCCCAGUCGUGGGGGAUAACGCAGCGAAAGAUGUGCUAAUACCGCAUACGAUCUGCGGAUGAAAGCGGGGGACCUUCGGGCCUCGCGCGAUUGGAGCGGCCGAUGUCAGAUUAGGUAGUUGGUGGGGUAAAGGCUCACCAAGCCAACGAGCUGUAGCUGGUCUGAGAGGACGACCAGCCACACUGGGAAUGAGACACAGCCCAGACUCCUACGGGAGGCAGCAGGUGGGAAUUUUGGACAAUGGGCGCAAGCCUGAUCCAGCAAUGCCGCGUGCAGGAAGAAGGCCUUCGGGUUGGAAACUGCUUUUGUACGGAGCGAAAAAAGGUCUUUCUAGAUCGUCUGACGGUACCUUAUGAAUAAGCACCGGCUAACUCCGUGCCAGCCGCCGCCGUAAAAC